rnacentral:tRNA from 1 species
UUCUCGGUGGCUGAGAUACACAAAGCGCUAAACUUUUAAUUUAGAGACGGUCAGGAUUAAGAAUAGACUCCGAGAAA